rnacentral:rRNA from 1 species
GACGAACGCUGGCGGCGUGCUUAACACAUGCAAGUCGAACGGAAGGGCCCGGCUUUUGUGGGGGGCCCUAGUCGCGAACGGGGGAGUAACACGGUAGUAACCUUGCCUGUACGUUGGGAUAACUUCAGGAAACUGGGGCCAAUACCGGAUAGGAGCUUCCGCUGCCUGGUGGGGAUGCGAAAGGUUCGCCGGUUGGGGUUGGACGCGCGGCUGAUCAGCGUGUUGGUGGGGUAGUGGCUGACCAAGGCCUUGACGGGUAGCCGGCCUGAGAGGGUGACCGGGCACCAUGGGACUGAGAUACGGAGCAGACUGCUACGGGAGGCAGCAGUGGAAAAUAUUGCACAAUGGGCGGACGCCUGAUACAGAAACGCCGCGUGCGGGAUGACGGCCUGCGGGGUGUAAACCGCUUUCGCAUGUAACGAAGCGAGAGUGACGGUAAUGGGUAAAGAAGCACCGGCUAACUACGUG